CUCACACAGCUUCUUAAUCUCACCUUCAAUUGUGUGCUCACAUCUGUGCAUCUUUUUUUUGUGUUUUUCCACAGUAUUAGCUGCGUUGGUUAGACAGCAUUCUAGAAUUUGCUUGGUGACUUUCAUGUAUCAUCUUCAACGCCUAGAUUGCCUUUUUCAAUGAAGUUAGUGAAACCGUGCUUGGUGUUUAGAUUUGAGUUUCAGAUAUAUGGAUAGUCUUGUCGUUUUUCCCUGACAUUUGGAUUUCAGCCAUGGUUUUGAUGAUUGUGGUGAGGAACAUUUUAGAGGUUCAUGCUCAUGAAAGGGUCUUGGCUUGUCUUGUGUGAAGAGCUGCUGUCGAUUGAAAUUCAGCUUCAAUUUGGACUUUGUUCUUAUUUGUGUCUGUUUAUUUCUUGCGAAAGGUGUCCAGUUGUAUCGUUCCGGGUAGUCUACUACGCGGAGCACAAUCCUGUGGAUUUCAGUUUUAACGACAGCUAUGGCAGAGGCCCACUCCCAGCAAUCAAUGGCUAGCGAAGUGCAUCCGUUGGCAGCUUCAGGCUUCAAUGCUGACUAGAGAAUUUAUGAAUCGGCUCGACCAAGCUGCCACGUGGAUUGCAAGGUUACGUGGUGCCUAUGAGAAACACAAAGCUGGAAGUCCUUAUUACAGACUAGGGCUGUGGCGGAGACCCUUUGUAGAGCCAGAGAAGGCGAAGGUGGUGUCAACAAUGUUCCAUUUACCAUGUUUAUAUAUAUAUAUAUAUAUAUAGUUCUACAGUUUAGAGUAUUA